rnacentral:misc_RNA from 1 species
AAAAAAAAAAAAAAGGUUCUACUUAAUGGGUUACAUUAAGAGUUAUUAUUUUCCUAACUAUUACCACAAGCAUUGAAAUGGUUUUAAUCUACUAAAUACCAUCACCACUGCCACCAUUAGUCCAUUACCACAACUGUCACUCCAAAUACCAUGGUUAUCAUUCACUACUACCAUCAUCAUAUCCACCACUACCACAGUUCUCAACACCACUAUAGCUAUCAUCAACCGCCACCAUUACCAUUACUAUAUCAUCAACUACCACUAACAUUACAAUUAUCACCCCAACAACCACCAAAAUCAAUGCCACUGCCACCAUCACUAACCAAUAACCACUCAUUAUUCUUUAUGCAAUAUAAUUGAAUCUACAAAUCUUCAAUUUUAAAAUUUAACACUUGAUAAUUAACUUAUAUUUUAACUCCUAAUUUGAGGACUAAAAAUAUUCAUCUCUUAUAUUUUCAGCAAUGAAACAACACUCCUAAAGAACAUUUUUACACGGAGUCUGAUACAUCCAUACAGAAAAAGGAAACAUUGAUACACGGAAAUGCGAAAACAGACACAGGGAGAUGACAUUUCUCAAAAAUAUAGGAAUCUGAAGCUAGGGGAAAUGUCUAAAUAUUAAAAUUGUGGGGGUACAUUUAUGAAAAUUAUUUUUUGAAAAGUGCUUGACGAAUUGUCUAUAGCUUUUUGUGUAAAUAUACAGUUGCCAAGAGCGAAAUUAAUGCCCAAUGCUACAUUUCUCCUAACUUAAAGACUUUGGCACAGCAUGACGCAUACAAGUGAUUUCCCUGAUGCAGAGCAUGUUCAUGUGGAUGCUGUAUUUUUAUUUUUUAUUCUUCCUAUUCAGUUUUAAUGUUUCUUAGUCUAAUUAGGUUUUUUUAUUUUAUUUUAGUUUCCUAUUCCAU